rnacentral:rRNA from 1 species
AUGAACGCUAGCUACAGGCUUAACACAUGCAAGUCGAGGGGCAGCAUCAUCAAAGCUUGCUUUGAUGGAUGGCGACCGGCGCACGGGUGAGUAACACGUAUCCAACCUGCCGACAACACUGGGAUAGCCUUUCGAAAGAAAGAUUAAUACCGGAUGGUAUAGUUUUCCCGCAUGGGGUGACUAUUAAAGAAUUUCGGUUGUCGAUGGGGAUGCGUUCCAUUAGGCAGUUGGCGGGGUAACGGCCCACCAAACCAACGAUGGAUAGGGGUUCUGAGAGGAAGGUCCCCCACAUUGGAACUGAGACACGGUCCAAACUCCUACGGGAGGCAGCAGUGAGGAAUAUUGGUCAAUGGACGAGAGUCUGAACCAGCCAAGUAGCGUGAAGGAUGACUGCCCUAUGGGUUGUAAACUUCUUUUAUACGGGAAUAAAGUGAGCCACGUGUGGCUUUUUGUAUGUACCGUAUGAAUAAGGAUCGGCUAACUCCGUGCCAGCAGCCGCGGUAAUACGGAGGAUCCGAGCGUUAUCCGGAUUUAUUGGGUUUAAAGGGAGCGUAGGCGGGUUGUUAAGUCAGUUGUGAAAGUUUGCGGCUCAACCGUAAAAUUGCAGUUGAUACUGGCGACCUUGAGUGCAACAGAGGUAGGCGGAAUUCGUGGUGUAGCGGUGAAAUGCUUAGAUAUCACGAAGAACUCCGAUUGCGAAGGCAGCUUACUGGAUUGUAACUGACGCUGAUGCUCGAAAGUGUGGGUAUCAAACAGGAUUAGAUACCCUGGUAGUCCACGCCGUAAACGAUGUCGACUUGGAGGUUGUGCCCUUGAGGCGUGGCUUCCGGAGCUAACGCGUUAAGUCGACCGCCUGGGGAGUACGGCCGCAAGGUUAAAACUCAAAUGAAUUGACGGGGGCCCGCACAAGCGGAGGAACAUGUGGUUUAAUUCGAUGAUACGCGAGGAACCUUACCCGGGCUUAAAUUGCAACUGACGGAAUCGGAAACGGUUCUUUCUUCGGACAGUUGUGAAGGUGCUGCAUGGUUGUCGUCAGCUCGUGCCGUGAGGUGUCGGCUUAAGUGCCAUAACGAGCGCAACCCUUAUCGAUAGUUACUAGCAGGUUAUGCUGAGGACUCUAUCGAGACUGCCGUCGUAAGAUGUGAGGAAGGUGGGGAUGACGUCAAAUCAGCACGGCCCUUACGUCCGGGGCUACACACGUGUUACAAUGGGGGGUACAGAAGGCAGCUACACGGCGACGUGGUGCUAAUCCCGAAAGCCUCUCUCAGUUCGGAUUGGAGUCUGCAACCCGACUCCAUGAAGCUGGAUUCGCUAGUAAUCGCGCAUCAGCCACGGCGCGGUGAAUACGUUCCCGGGCCUUGUACACACCGCCCGUCAAGCCAUGAAAGCCGGGGGUACCUGAAGUACGUAACCGCGAGGAGCGUCCUAGGGUAAAACUGGUGAUUGGGGCU